AGUGAACGCUGGCGGUAGGCCUAACACAUGCAAGUCGAACGGCAGCACAGUAAGAGCUUGCCCUUACGGGUGGCGAGUGGCGGACGGGUGAGGAAUACAUCGGAAUCUACUUUUUCGUGGGGGAUAACGUAGGGAAACUUACGCUAAUACCGCAUACGACCUACGGGUGAAAGCAGGGGAUAUUCGGACCUUGCGCGAUUGAAUGAGCCGAUGUCGGAUUAGCUAGUUGGCGGGGUAAAGGCCCACCAAGGCGACGAUCCGUAGCUGGUCUGAGAGGAUGAUCAGCCACACUGGAACUGAGACACGGUCCAGACUCCUACGGGAGGCAGCAGUGGGGAAUAUUGGACAAUGGGCGCAAGCCUGAUCCAGCCAUACCGCGUGGGUGAAGAAGGCCUUCGGGUUGUAAAGCCCUUUUGUUGGGAAAGAAAAGCAGCAGGUUAAUACCCCGCUGUUCUGACGGUACCCAAAGAAUAAGCACCGGCUAACUUCGUG
rnacentral:rRNA from 1 species